rnacentral:lncRNA from 1 species
CUUCACUAGGUAUUGUACAAGAUUCCAGCCACACAGUUCUUAUUAUAGCUGGAUAAAUUUGUUUGCUGACAUGUUAUCUUCUUUGAUCGCCGUGCUCCUCAUUUUAUGGUUAUGUCACUUUUUUGGACAAUAUUAAGUAGUGUGCUUAGAUUUUCUACAAUAUAAGCAUAAUCCUUCUUGACGAUGGUGAGUCUUUACUUGCUUUAUAAGAGGUUUGAAACAUAUCACAUCGAUUUACAUAUCCUUUACUUCUGAAUGUAUGUGUUGAACAGAUGUUGGUAUUGCCAUUGAAUUAUAAUAACGUUGAGGUUCAUUUGUACGAUUCUCUGAUUGAAAUUCAAAAAGA